rnacentral:rRNA from 1 species
GACGAACGCUGGCGGCGUGCCUAAUACAUGCAAGUUGAGCGCUGAAGGUUGGUACUUGUACCAACUGGAUGAGCAGCGAACGGGUGAGUAACGCGUGGGGAAUCUGCCUUUGAGCGGGGGACAACAUUUGGAAACGAAUGCUAAUACCGCAUAAAAACUUUAAACACAAGUUUUAAGUUUGAAAGAUGCAAUUGCAUCACUCAAAGAUGAUCCCGCGUUGUAUUAGCUAGUUGGUGAGGUAAAGGCUCACCAAGGCGAUGAUACAUAGCCGACCUGAGAGGGUGAUCGGCCACAUUGGGACUGGGAAACGGCCCAAACUCCUACGGGAGGCAGCAGGAGGGAAUCUUCGGCAAUGGACGAAAGUCUGACCGAGCAACGCCGCGUGAGUGAAGAAGGUUUUCGGAUCGUAAAACUCUGUUGGUAGAGAAGAACGUUGGUGAGAGUGGAAAGCUCAUCAAGUGACGGUAACUACCCAGAAAGGGACGGCUAACUACGUG